CAAGCCGGCCAGGCAAUCGCCGGUCGCUCCGGGUUUUCCGGUGCGGCGGGAGGAAAGUCCGGGCUCCGGCGGACGGGACGCCAGGUAACGCCUGGGGGGCGCAAGCCUACGGAAAGUGCCACAGAAAAGAUACCGCCCGGCGCCCUCGGGAAUGCCGGGUAAGGGUGAAAUGGUGCGGUAAGAGCGCACCGCGCGGCCGGCAACGGCCGUGGCAGGGUAAACCCCGUCCGGAGCAAGGCUGAAUAGGGAAGCAAUGCGUAUGUCCGCACGCGCUUCCGGGUAAGCUGCUCGAGGCCGCCGGCGACGGCGGUCCUAGAUGAAUGAUUGCCCCCGACAGAACCCGGCUUAUCGGCCGGCUUGCCCC
rnacentral:RNase_P_RNA from 1 species